GCCAGCAGCCAUAUCACCCUGCAGCUUACUACUGGCAGCCCACUGAAGCUGAGCCUGGUCAGUACCUGGUUGGGAGACCUACUGGGAAAAACUAAGGUUGCUGCUGGAA
rnacentral:rRNA from 1 species